rnacentral:rRNA from 1 species
AGUGAACGCUGGCGGUAGGCCUAACACAUGCAAGUCGAACGGCAGCACAGUAAGAGCUUGCUCUUACGGGUGGCGAGUGGCGGACGGGUGAGGAAUACAUCGGAAUCUACUUUUUCGUGGGGGAUAACGUAGGGAAACUUACGCUAAUACCGCAUACGACCUACGGGUGAAAGCAGGGGAUCUUCGGACCUUUCGCGAUUGAAUGAGCCGAUGUCGGAUUAGCUAGUUGGCGGGGUAAAGGCCCACCAAGGCGACGAUCCGUAGCUGGUCUGAGAGGAUGAUCAGCCACAGUGGAACUGAGACACGGACCAGACUCGGACGGGAGGCAGCAGUGGGGAAUAUUGGAGAAUGGGCGCAAGGCUGAUCUAGCCAUACCGCGAGGGUGAAGAAGGCCUUCGGGUUGUAAAGGACUUUUGUUGGGAAAGAAAAACAGCAGGUUAAUACCCCGCUGUUCUGACGGUACCCAAAGAAUAAGCACCGGCUAACUUCGU